AGCAGCCGCGGUAAUUCCAGCUCCAAUAGCGUAUAUUAAAGUUGUUGCAGUUAAAAAGCUCGUAGUUGAAUUUCGGAAUCUGUCCAUCGGUCGGGCUUCACUGUCCGUACUGGUGUGGUGGGUUCUUACCUUCUGAAUAACCAGCAUGCCAUUAAUUUGGUGCGUUGGGGAAGCAGGACUAUUACCUUGAAAAAAUUAGAGUGCUCAAAGCAGGCCAGUGCCUGAAUAUAUUAGCAUGGAAUAAUAAAAUAGGACGGCAUGGUUCUAUUUUGUUGGUUUCUAGGAUCACCGUAAUGAUUAAUAGGGAUAGUUGGGGGCAUUAGUAUUCAAUUGUCAGAGGUGAAAUUCUUGGAUUUAUUGAAGACUAACUUCUGCGAAAGCAUUUGCCAAGGAUGUUUUCAUUAAUCAAGAACGAAAGUUAGGGGAUCGAAGACGAUCAGAUACCGUCGUAGUCUUAACCAUAAACUAUGCCGACUAGGGAUUGGACGAUGUUAAUUUUUAAUGACUCGUUCGGACG
rnacentral:rRNA from 1 species